rnacentral:antisense_RNA from 1 species
CAGGAACAGGAGAUCUGCCACGCGGCAAACUCUUGGGGAGCCCUGAAGCUCAGCACUCCGGGGGGGGGUCUUCACACAGGCAGGUCCUGGAGGGAAGGAGGCCACCACGCCCACCUCCCAUCCGAAGGCACAGCACCGCAGUGGUGGCCUGUGCCAGACAAGGGGGUGAGGGAUGGAAUGUCCUAGUGGUGAGUGCAUCAGAGGCAGCCUGAACGAGCAGACAGGCUGUGGCAACUGUCCUGAGGCUGUGAGUCUGGGCAGCCUGCCUCCAGGACCCCCAAAGCCAGGCACCACAGCACAUACCGUGGGACCUUUGCUUUUCACUCAGGAAAAGAAAGAACAUGUGAGUGCUUUUGAAAACACAGCAAGAGGACUUGACCACAAGCUAAAGGAAAAAAAACCCUAUAUAGUUUCAUCGAGUGAGAAAAAUAAUGCCAAACAAAAUAAUUUUAUGUAA